rnacentral:snoRNA from 1 species
GUUGGAGCGGUGAUGAGCAAAUUUUUUGUGGACUAGAGUUUCUGAUACUACCUCGGUAGUAUUUGAAGACCAAACCCUUGGCUGUCUGAGCCUCCCGU